AUGAGUGUGACAUCUUCACUAAAGAAACGGUCUCGUGCAUUGGACCUAGAAGAAGAAGCACUCUGUUGCCAAACAAGAAUAUCCAUUUUGCUGUGUGGUCCUAGGCUAAUCGUGUUGGAAAUAGCAAGGAUCAAGCAUACAAGGAUCAUGCUACAGAAGAUGUUCUGCUUCCUGUUGUCUCUGAAGGCAAACAAGAAACAGGAUACACACAUUGGCUUUGCAUGUGCUUUAAGCAAUUACUAUAGGCACUCUAGGAAAUUCAGAUUGGACUCCCUCAUGAAGAAGACUUUGAGUAGGCCAUACAAUAAAUGAAUAAAUGGUGCUGGUGACUAUAACUUAUUUAGCCUCCUAUUAAAUCUAUGCACAGGUAUUAUGUGAUCAAAACCCACUGAAAGAAUCUCAUAGCAUUUGUAGCAUCUAGGGAAGCCCUGGAGCAUCUAGGGAUCUCAUAGAGGAGACCUUUGGGAAAACAGGGAGCAUGUGUGGGUGACAAUGACAUGGCUGCCAUUCUUAAAAUGAACCACUCCUCCUCUCAGGGGGAAGGCAUAUAGCCAGCACACAGGAAAGUAACCAUAACCACAUCCCUCUAAUAUCUUGGGCAAUGUGGAUUUUUUCCUCAUGGCCUUCCAUGAUCCUCUGUAUCCCCUGUAUCCUCAAAAUUCUCCCUCUGCUGCACUGCCAGGCAAUGCGAGCAUGGAGGGCUAUGCCUCCUCCAGCCAGACUGAAAGGAGGGGAGCAGGGAAGGUGAGGACAACAAGUUGAUACAGGGGAAGCAAAGGAAAACAGAGGGAGAGAGAUGUGAAACCUGAUCCAUCUAAUAACAUCAAGACUGAUAGUGAUUUUCCACUCUAUCUAGUAGGUCAGAUGAUCUUAUAGUGCAGUGUUAGAGAGAAAGAAGAUGGAAAUAUUUUCAUUUUCUCUCAGAGUCAAUAUUUCCCUAGCUGGAAAUUAAUCACUUGAAAAGAAGUUUAAGGGGAGUCUGUCAAGGUUUAUUUAGGCUUCAAAAUAACUUUUUAAAACACUGUCUUUUGUUGUUGUUGCAGGUUUAGAGGUCAGAGUUUCCCUCCACAGCAUUCUUCUCUUGACAAAUGACCUUUGCAGCAGCUAGCCAGGUAUUUUAUUUUUUUUUUAAUUUUUAUUUUAAAUUGACUUCUUGUGUGUUCUGCCAUAAGCAAAAUGUUUCAGAUACAGUGGAAAAGGUAGAACUUCCACAGUCAUCUUUAUUUAUGUCUCAUGAAUCAGACAAGAUGUCUUUCUUUUAUCUAAUUAUUUUUCUCUUAAAGGAUUGCAGCAGUGAAUCUUCAUUUAGCAACCUGCCACCUGGUUAUAAAGCAACUAGAUUUUGAAUUUAGGUAAUGCCUUCUGAAGUUACUAUUAUUAACUCCUGAAGUCUACAGCAGAAUGCCUGGCUUAAUGGCAGCUGGCUAGUACCUGCGGAUGUACAGAACAUAGAAGUUUGGCAUCUGGCAACCAGUUAUAAAUUGCAAGCCAAGCCUGAAAGAAUAUAUCUGAAGAAAGUGUGAGAAGCACUUGUCUAUCUAUAAAUAGCUUUAAUGUCUUUUCAGUAGACUCUUUGCUCCUUCCAGACAUCCAAGAGGAAAAACAUGUACCAAACCAAUUAUCUACCCCAUCAGCAGCAUCUAAGCUGGGUUACUCAAAUUUUGAGGUCUAUUAUACAGCUGCUUUUAGAAGCACCUGGAUCUAAAAGGAGUACCUAAAGAAAGCAUCAAAAAGAUCAGUUUUCCCUCUGCCACUUUAUUCUUGAAGAUGAAUCAGACUCUGAUUCUGCCCCACACACCAGAACCAGUGGGGAAGGGAAGGGAAGGGAAGGGAAGGGAAGGGAAGGGAAGGAGAAUUCACCAGAAGGGCUAUUGAGAUCAGCUAAGGGAGGAAAAA
rnacentral:lncRNA from 1 species